rnacentral:rRNA from 1 species
UACGUAGGGGGCUAGCGUUGUCCGGAUUUAUUGGGCGUAAAGAGCGUUUAGGCGGCCAGGUAGGUCUGGUGUGAAAACUCGAGGCUUAACCUCGAGAUGUCAUCGGAAACCAUCUGGCUAGAGUCCGGAAGAGGAGAGUGGAAUUCCUGGUGUAGCGGUGAAAUGCGCAGAUAUCAGGAAGAACACCAAUGGCGAAAGCAGCUCUCUGGGACGGUACUGACGCUGAGACGCGAAAGCGUGGGGAGCGAACAGG